UAGGGAAUCUUCGGCAAUGGACGGAAGUCUGACCGAGCAACGCCGCGUGAGUGAAGAAGGUUUUCGGAUCGUAAAGCUCUGUUGUUAGAGAAGAACGUUGGUAGGAGUGGAAAAUCUACCAAGUGACGGUAACUAACCAGAAAGGGACGGCUAACUACGUGCCAGCAGCCGCGGUAAUACGUAGGUCCCGAGCGUUGUCCGGAUUUAUUGGGCGUAAAGCGAGCGCAGGCGGUUCUUUAAGUCUGAAGUUAAAGGCAGUGGCUUAACCAUUGUACGCUUUGGAAACUGGAGGACUUGAGUGCAGAAGGGGAGAGUAGAAUUCCAUGUGUAGCGGUAAAAUGCGUAGAUAUAUGGAGGAACACCGGUGGCGAAAGCGGCUCUCUGGUCUGUAACUGACGCUGAGGCUCGAAAGCGUGGGGAGCAAACAGG
rnacentral:rRNA from 1 species